CACGUAGGGUGCGAGCGUUGUCCGGAAUUAUUGGGCGUAAAGAGCUCGUAGGCGGCUUGUCGCGUCGUCUGUGAAAUCCCACGGCUCAACUGUGGGCUUGCAGUCGAUACGGGCAGGCUGGAGUUCGGUAGGGGAGACUGGAAUUCCUGGUGUAGCGGUGAAAUGCGCAGAUAUCAGGAGGAACACCGGUGGCGAAGGCGGGUCUCUGGGCCGAUACUGACGCUGAGGAGCGAAAGCGUGGGGAGCGAACAGG
rnacentral:rRNA from 1 species